GUCCAGGUCAAUGCGGCAGGGCUCGACGUAGAGGGCGCGACGGCUCCAGGGCGAUGCAGGGAAACAGCGGAUCUGGUGCAGCGGUCCGAGGUGGACUGGAUCGGGGGCGAGAGGCAGGUUCUAGCGAAGGAGGGAUGGAUUCGGCCGAUGCGGCGACCUGCCGGAGAGCGGCAGCGGCGGGUCUGGAUCCGGUCGAUGGGCAACCACCGGAUCAGUUUGGGAGCCCAGCAGCAGCGCUCCGUCCACACCCUGCGCUGGACCGGCAGUAGCACUGCUCCCUCCCUCCUAGCCCCGCGCUAGAUUGGCAGUAGCAGCGCAGAUGGAUUCAACCGCCAGCUCGGGCCACGAAGGGCUUGACCCCAGCCACAAAUUGCCCCCAUAGAGUAUGUUGACUAUGUUCUAAUAUGUAUGCUCAAGUUUGUCUUCUUGUCUCAAAAAAAAGUUUGUCUUCUUGAUUUUUCUGGCUGCGGGGCAUGGGAGCCAUGGAUCGAUCCCACGUACACAGGUACUACAUUAUUUUUUCGUAUGCUUCUUCUAGAUUUCGUUUUGAGCCGAUAAGUGCGAGAUGUGGCAUCACUUCUCGGCUCUACAAAAUCCAUUGCUGAAGUGCGUGUCCUGGGGUCCCAGCCUCCAUCACUUCAGUUCCCGCUAGGUUCAAGAACAAAAAAAAUCAGUGUGGAAGACCACUAGCAGAAUUGGAUGUUGUAUGCACCUUCAUCUUGCAGUCCAAUUACUUGGAUUAUUUGGGACAAAAUCGUUUGCUUUUAACCGUACGACAGUUAUAUAGCAGGCUAAGGAUACAUGCUUGUAAUGCCUCUAUCACAAAUUGCACAUGAACUAACUAGAAAGCUAGCAAUCAAUCGCCCUGAAGGUAUUGCUCUUUUAUUUUAUUUCAGAUCGUGAGGAAAGGGGUUCAGAUAAGUGACUACUCUAUGCUGUACUAACUACUUUAUGUUGUACUGACUAAUCUUAGAAAUAUAUUUGGUCCAGGAGUAGUACAUAGAGCAUUUCUGGAUCAGAUAUACACACGCUAUUCACCUUCAUAACCCGAUUUUUUUUGCUUAUGAUGAUGUUUAUUAUCGGAAAGCUCUUGACAAAAGCAUCAAGUAAUGGGCCAAUACUCAAAUAACUGACUCACCUACAAUCUUUUUUUCUAACGGCAGUAUUAUAUACACAAUAAUAAUUUUUUACAUUUUUCUUAUUGUUGCAAAUAUAUAUCUUGGUAGUUAUAAAUGAUACAUCUAUUUGAUCAUCAGAUGCUUAUCUGUAGUGUUUAGGAGAGCUUUUUUGAUUGGAAAUGACUUUUGAUUCUUGGUUCUUGAGGUGGUAUAUUACUCUGAAGCACUUCAAUUCUUGGCUCUGGCUAAGCAUAAUAUAUUACUUUAUUACUGAGAUUUGGCUACUAAUGAUAUAUGUUACCAUUGUUUUUGUUGUCUUUGAUAGUAUAAAAGAUCGGAAGUGCAUCAGCUAUCACUGCUCCUGUUUGUUGGUAGAUUUGGCAAACCCUCUAAAUUCAUUUUCCACGAAAAUAUAGUUUGUAACACUGGUUCGAAUUAAUAUAUUGAUAUAAGUAGGGCAAUAUCCAAGUUUCUUUAUACUGAUAUAAGUUCAGAAUUUGCAACACCAUUCUACUACUUACACAAGAGCCUUGUGGCUAAUCAUACUUGAUCCUGUGUGCUCUCAUCUGUAGGUAUGGGUUUCACAUCGUUGUCAAUUUUGAUGUGUUUCACGGGAUGAAUGAUGCGUCAGAUUCUUCUAAAACUGCCACUAUUCAGUAUGUAUCCGUCGCAACCCUAAGUUAUGUCUGUCAUGCAUUCAUUAUCUUUAUUUUUUGAGGCUCAAUCCACUUUUAGCUUUUGUCCUCUUGGAGACGUCCUCCUUGAACAGCUUGGAUUCAGUCAUCAAGUCCAUCAUAGGUUUCUGCUGGAUGCCCAGCAUCCGCUUGCACUUAGACAGGGAGGGAGGGAAGGAGCUGCCAUAUUGAAGCAUCCCAUAUUUAUGCUUACCCCGAUCUCUAGAGUCAAGGAUCCUUCACUGAUUGAAAGAUGCAAAUACUGAGCUAUGCUAACUAGAGUAAUGCUAUCUACUUUAUAUCAGCGCAUUUUAUUUGAUUCUUGCGGUAUCUAGACAAUAUUGCACGACCAAAUCAUAACAGACCGGGUGAUUGACGUUCACCUACCUGUAAGGAUUCUCCCAGGUUGUAUCUAUCGAGGAGUGAGCGGAGGAGCAGGAUUAGGAGAUGCCCAUUGUGGCCUAGCAGCUGAUGUCUCCCCGGUGGCUUCAUAAUAUGCCAGACUGCUUCUUGUGUGUUUGCAGCUUGCUAAACAUUCAUCAAAAUUAUGGUUCGCUUGCACCUUGUACAAGUAUGAAUUUUUGCCAUAUCCCACUUCAGGGCAUAAUUUUUUUUUGAAACGGCAACGCACAAAUUAAGUUUUUUUUAUAUUGGAUCGAUAUUUGUAUGGUUGACUUCGACAGAACCUUUUACAACCAGCUACAUAGUAUGGUAAAUCACUAAACUGUAAUGCUUCAGUCUCCCUGUGUUCUAAAAAUAAAAUGCUUGGAACUUUUAACUUAUCAAGCAAUGACUUUAUUUACUCAUAUGUGUAUUGUUUGAUUCGGAGGCUAACAAUAACUUUUGACCAACUAUUGGGAGACCACUAUCUUAUCUUAGAAACAGAAGUAUUAUUAACUUUUGACAAACUAUUGUUAAGUACACUAUUGGGAGUCUUGAGCCAUGUUUGUGUUGUUAGGAGCAUGAAUUUUUUUUCUCCCGUUGCAACGCAUGGGCAUAUAUUAGGUGGCAUCGCUGGUCCGUGUAAAACGGGUUUAAACUUGGCGAAGCUAUUGAACAACACUCUUGCUUUCUUCUGUUAGGACCCUUUAUCAAUCAUUGAGCCACGCCAAGUUUUUGAGAUGGUAAUGAAGCCUGCCACAUUAAAUUUGUCCCUCCCCUUGGUUCUUUGUUAUUUAUUCUUUUGAAUUCCUGAAUUUUCUCUGCAAAAUAAGUCUUGCUUUGCCAGAAGAUUGAACUGUUUCUUUUCAGCUACGAUCAUCUAAUCUCAUAUAUGUGUUCAUUUGAACUUAUUUACUCUUUUGACUGUUGAUUUGGUUUGCUUUGCCUGAAGAUUGAACUGUUUCUUUUUACUGUUGAUUUAUGAACUCCAAGUACUGAUGUGCAUAAUUAAGCAUCUGUUCAUCAGGUGUCAUUGUAUAUGGACAAGUCUGCAGGGGUUUGCCAGUCGGACUUCCAUGAUUGCAAAUUGUCGUUCCUGCAAAUUAUAUGUGAUCAUGAUCUUUUUGUUGAGAUGACUGAGACUUUGGUCGUCCUCCACAGCGGGAUGCGACCUCCCUGGAGCAGCGGGUCAGGCGCAUCAUCGGAGGGGGAGAAGAUCUUGUUAUCUACAACAACGUUGAGUGAACCACCGUCGAACUGAAGCGCGCCUUCUAUAGCUGCGACCCUGUGUUGGCCCUGCCCGCGUACGUCUGCUAAGACCGGAAACAGAGCAGAAAAGGAGUUCAAAUGACCUCUCUCUGUUUUUCCUCCCUCUAGGAGGGCGUUGCCGGAGCAGUUAAGCCAUGCGGAGGUUUGAAAAUGGCACAGGAGGCGGCCUAAGGGUGGCACGGCGUACAAUCCCUCUACUGUCAUUUUAUAUCUCUGAAUUUUUUUUGCUGCAUGCGCAGGUGUUUCAGGCAGAAACAGUAAUAGCAUCGACUAGGAGGAGCAAGACAAGAAGCAACGACAACUACCAUUGCUGGCUAAGCUACCUACUACGAUGCCCGCCUCUCUUUGCAAUGGCCAAAGCACACAACAAUCCACAGUUUGGUGAAUUUUCCCCCCACUUUGGUGACAUGGGACGGGUUGUGGGCAACAGCAUUUUAGAAGAAUCGGUAGUAGAAACGUGA
rnacentral:rRNA from 1 species